rnacentral:rRNA from 1 species
AGUGAACGCUGGCGGUAGGCCUAACACAUGCCAGUCGAACGGCAGCACAGUAAGAGCUUGCUCUUACGGGUGGCGAGUGGCGGACGGGUGAGGAAUACAUCGGAAUCUACUUUUUCGUGGGGGAUAACGUAGGGAAACUUACGCUAAUACCGCAUACGACCCACGGGUGAAAGCAGGGGAUCUUCGGACCUUGCGCGAUUGAAUGAGCCGAUGUCGGACUAGUUGGUUGGCGGGGUAAAGGCCCACCAAGGCGACGAUCGGUAGCUGGUCUGAGAGAAUGAUCGGCCGCACUGGAACUGAGACACGGUCCAGACUCCUACGGGAGGCAGCAGUGGGGAAUAUUGGACAAUGGGCGCAAGCCUGAUCCAGCCAUCCCGCGUGGGUGAAGAAGGCCUUCGGGUUGUAAAGCCCUUUUGUUGGGAAAGAAAAGCAGCAGGUUAAUACCCCGCUGUUCUGACGGUACCCAAAGAAUAAGCACCGGCUAACUUCGUG